rnacentral:rRNA from 1 species
GUACACUCCUACGGGAGGCAGCAGUGGGGAAUCUUGCGCAAUGGGCGAAAGCCUGACGCAGCCAUGCCGCGUGAAUGAUGAAGGUCUUAGGAUUGUAAAAUUCUUUCACCGGGGACGAUAAUGACGGUACCCGGAGAAGAAGCCCCGGCUAACUUCGUGCCAGCAGCCGCGGUAAUACGAAGGGGGCUAGCGUUGCUCGGAAUUACUGGGCGUAAAGGGAGCGUAGGCGGACAUUUAAGUCAGGGGUGAAAUCCCGGGGCUCAACCUCGGAAUUGCCUUUGAUACUGGGUGUCUUGAGUAUGAGAGAGGUGUGUGGAACUCCGAGUGUAGAGGUGAAAUUCGUAGAUAUUCGGAAGAACACCAGUGGCGAAGGCGACACACUGGCUCAUUACUGACGCUGAGGCUCGAAAGCGUGGGGAGCAAACAGGAUUAGAAACCCUGGUAGUCCCAUGA